GCCUAGGAUCUUGUAGUCUAUUAGGUUGUUCCCCCGCAGCUGAGCAAAUGCCUCUUUCAAGUCAUUAAUGGCUGACUCAUACCUGGAAAGCGAGGAAGGAGAGGUUUUUCUCUACAGCUGUCUUUGAUCCUCUCUCUUGCAUUUUGGAGCCACCCUCAGGAACUGAGAGCACUGCCAGGAAAUCUGUCAAAUGUAACUGUGUGAGUCUUCACCAACUUCAUGCAAGCACAGAAAACUCAGAGCUUAGAACCAAUCACAAAAGUGAGAAUCUAAGUUUUCUUCCUCCCCACUCCCAUUUUUUCUUUAAAAAGUCACAGGAAGUUUCUAGCCCUCACAGAAGGGAAGGCAGAUUUAAAAGCGUUUGAGCAACGUCUGACAAAACCUACCGUUCACUAACUACAAAUAACUGAAAUAAUUACAUUUCUUCUCCAGCCUCCUUCCUCUUCUGCUGUUCUUUUCUUUGUGUCAAAUUUUAGAUUAUAAGUUCCUAAGGGGAGAUCUUGCCUUCCAUACUUUGUAAGUCACCAUGUACAUCAAUGGCACUAAAUUACUACUACUACUACUACAUAAGUAAUAUUAUUAUUUAUCUAUUCAUAUAAAAGUAUAAUUUAUGUAAAUCUGACAGAGAACAGAAUAAAUUGCACAACAUAAGAAUAUAUAGGCAAAUGUGUCUGAGACGCAUAAUUUAUACAGGUUCUCUCGGUCCAGAUUUUGGGUUAUUGCAACCCAUUAUUAUUUCACUUAUUAUUACUUAUUACUUAUUAUUACUUAUUACUUAUUAUUAUUAUAUCACUUUAAGAGUCAUGGAGAAUUCUGGGAACGGUAGUUUGCCAAGGGUGCUGGGAAUUAUAGCUCCAAAGGUCACCAUCCUUAACAAACUGCAAUUCCCAGGAUACUUUGGGAGAAGCCAUGACUGUUUAGAUGGUCUAAGAGUGCUUUAAAUGUAUGGCGUGGAUGUGACUAGCGGGAACUGUCUGAACUGAUGAACAUCAUGUUUGUGGGGAGGGAAGUCUUCGUAACUUACUUUAUUAUAUAAAUUCAUGUAAUUUCCAACACUCAAGUAUUUUUUAUUGGUUUAUGUGUAUUGGAUGGAAAAUGACAAUUAUGAUGUAUAUUAAAAAGAAAAUUUAAUAAAGAUGAUACGUAAAAAAAAAAAUCAUAAACUGUCCCAUUAACCUUG